AGUACGACAAAUUAAUUGUUUGUUUCAUGUGUGAUUACUGGCACCUGUUUUACAUUACAAUAAAAUUAUACAUUAUUAUUUUAAUCUUUGCAAUUUUUUUAAACAGGUUUUCCCGCCACAUAUUAGGAACAAAUAAUUUACGAGCCUAUAAUCACAUGAAAGGGCAAAAAAGCAUUUGAAUGCUUCGGCUAUCUUGACAUGUUUUUCGUUUUUUCAAGACAGCUGUGCGUUUCUUCGACUUAUUCCUUACUUCUGCACACGACAAGACAAAUGUAUACGUUAGUGCAAAACCAUCACUGUACAUAUGAUACGACAAAAUCAAAUUUUACAGCAUCAAAAAUUAAAAUCAAUGAUUUCGUCUGGUAGCGAAAAUUAUAUCAACCGACAAAAUCACUUAUACACUCAUACGAAGACAUCCUUAAAACAUCCGUAACGAUUAAUGUUUCACGAUACUUGUUUUAAAACUUCCUUGUAGUUUGUAAACCGUCCGAAUUGAUGUUGCAAACGAAAUAAUUUUCGUGUAAAAACAUGGACGUGUAUUUAUGUUUUCCUUUGGUCUUUUUUUCAUGUAUCCAAGCUUCCUGGUGUUAUUUUGUUUCAAAAACAACUGCAGCAUGGACAGAACAGUACGCUGAGUGUAAGAUGGCGACACCUACAAUACAAUAUGAGAGACUUGAACUCAAUGUAACUAUUGAUCAACAGUUCCAAUAUGACGACUUAUGGGUAGGAUACUACGAGCACAUGGCCUUAUUCGAUUACAUUGGUUGUAUCAAAACCCGAAACGUCCAGCCGAUACUAGCAACUAUACAACUUGGUGUACCGACCCCAGGGCGAUGCUAUUCGGCAUGUGCAUACACACAAUACAUUGGGAUAAACAUACGUGAGGUAAAAUGC